CAAAAUCUCUGACAACAAUAAUACACCAUUAUAAAGUGUGAUUAGUUAGAUGUACAGUGUUAUGGAAAACUAUCAGUGACCAAUAGUUACAAUGUCACUGUGGUGAACUGUCCAUAGUAUGUAUAAUGUUGUGAAGGCGUACCAUAUGUGAGUGUUUGUUAGUUAUAAUGUUAUGGACCAGCGCUUACAAGUUAUUAGGCACCAUGGCUGUACCUACUAGCAUAUGUCUCUGUAUAGAACCU